rnacentral:rRNA from 1 species
ACUCAAAGGAAUUGACGGGGACCCGCACAAACGGUGGAGCAUGUGGUUCAAUACGACGAUACGCGUGGAACCUUACCCAGACUUGACAUGUACUAGAAAUCCCUAUGAAAGUAGGGACCUCCCUUCCGGGACUGGUACACAGGUGUUGCAUGGCUGUCGUCAGCUCGUGUCGUGAGAUGUUGGGUUAAGUCCCGCAACGAGCGCAACCCCCAUUCUUAGUUGCAAACUGAGCCGUAAGGUUUAGUGCACUCUAGGGAGACUGCCGCUGAUAAAGCGGAGGAAGGUGGGGAUGACGUCAAGUCAGUACGGCCCUUACGUCUGGGGCUACACACGUGCUACAAUGGCCGGUACAAAGGGCUGCGAUACCGCGAGGUGGAGCCAAUCCUAAAAGCCGGCCCCAGUUCGGAUUGCAGGCUGCAACUCGCCUGCAUGAAGCCGGAAUCGUUAGUAACCCUAUAUCAGCCACGAUAGGGUGAAUACGUUCCCGGGUCUUGCACACACCGCCCGU